ensembl:lncRNA
GUAUCGUUCAGAUGUAAUGAACGGAUCUCAAACUCAAACCACAAACUAAAACAUUAGCUAGCAGGCCAGGUUAGUGAGUAGCUAACAGCAGAACAGUGUCCCUGGUACACUGGUACCCGUCCCAAACCACAUGUUCAUGUUAGCAGCCUUCUAUUAAACACGAGCGUUUGGGACGCAGCCGACAGAUUCUUUUAUAAUAAGGAUCAGACGAGGAAAAUGUCGUAUCAGCUUUCACUAACGGAUGAUAUAAAAACAGCUCUUGGUCGCCCACUCAGACUCUUGGACCUGACUCUAGUCUAAACACACAGACUGUGUGUGUGUGUGUGUGAGUGUGUGUGUGCGUCUUUAGAAUGAUCUGAAGUGUGACAAGUAGACAUUGUGCAAUUUACUUCACACUCAUAUAAAAUAUGUGUCUUAUCGGCGUGUGUGUGUGUGUGUGUGUGUGUGUAUGAGAGCGAGAGAGAGAUUCUUUCUCUAUUAUGUACCUUCUGAACUGAAUUAAACUGAACUUAGUGUGUGUGUGUGUGUGUGUGUGUGUGUGUGUGUGUGUGUGUGUGUGUGUGUGUGUGCCUAAAACUGCUGUUAUCUCUGUAGUGUCACUGUGCUUGUUUACUCACAUGUCACAAGACACACACACACACACACACACACACACACAGGCGAAGCAGAUGGUGAUGCUGAAUGUGCAUCGGAGUGUUGUGCAUAAUUCAGGCUGAGACGGGUGUGUGUUUGUUUUUGUGUGUGAGUAAACAAGCACAGCGACACCGCAGAGACAAGAGCGGUUUCAUAUACACACAUACACACACAAACACACUGCUCUCCUAAAGCAUUCAUUUAAAAUACACGUGUUUCAUCACGUCUCUCUUAUUAAUUAUUAAUUAAUAAUAAUUAUUAAUAGUAUUAUAGUAAAUAGUAUUAAUUAAAUAGUAUUAUUAAUGUUAUUAUUAAUUAUAUAUAACAGUAGAUUCUGCUUGAUAUUGUUUAUUACAGUUAAAACCUUUCAUAGGGGUCAUUAAAGGAAAUUAUUAUUAUAAUGACUAAACAAAUAAACAAACAAACAAAAAUAAAAGCUUGGGGAGUUCAUUGUAACAUUUAGACUGAUGUAAAAAAUCAUCAAUACUUGUUUUUCCCCCUGUGAAAGCUACUUAUCUUACUGAAAAAAACACGUUUUUACUUUAAAGGAGAGUGUUAUUACAUCAUUAAAUAUGAGAGCCAAUCAGGUUGCACUAUGCAAAUGCAGGUCAUGCAGGACUUAUUUACCAGGAGCUAUGUUUUGUAAUUUGCUUAUUUAUUUAUUUAUUUUGUAUUUGUGGAUGAAGAUGAAAUCUUUCACAAUGUAUAACAUUGUACAACAUAUUCUUCUCAUCAUUCUCGUAAUGAUACGUCUUUCCUGUUAGCGCUAUGGAAUAAUUCGUAGUGAAUAAACAUGCGGAGGGAUGAAGGGAGCGAGCGGUAACGCGUGAGGAUGAAGGGAGCGAGCGGUAACGCGUGAGUGUGAGGGGUUAAAGAGGGACAAGUGUGUCCUGUCUCAGGUCUAAUCAGUGUUAUUGUAUAUUGUAGUGACGAUGCUGAGCUCAGCUCCGCACGGACCCUCAGCACCUCCUACGUUCCCUCUCUCUCUCUCUCUCUCUCUCUCUCUCUGUUUUCUCCACACGUCCCCUCUAACACUCUGCAGGUGACAGAGCUCUCUUCUGUUCUGUCUUUCUUCCCCCCUCGGCCGUGUGGAACAGAUCAGAGCCGAGCUUUAGCAGAGCCGAGUCUCCGUGUCUCUCUGCUGGAGGGAUUUAGGGACUUGUUCUCGAGGUCUCGCUCUCCCUAUGACGCUUCCUGUCUUCCUGCGAAUCAAUAUCAGUGCACUUGGAGUGUGAGUGCACGACACCAGCGCUCUCCUACUGUAUCCCUCCAUCACACACACACACACACACACACUCGCUCUCUCUUUUAUUCUCUCCCUCCAGCACUCCUGACUCCUUCUUUCUCCCCUCACCGCGUUUCAGUAAAAUGUAUGUAUUAAUGCCGUCAGAGUGAAUUUCACUACUCAAUACAGUUCACUUUUUAAAAAAAUAAUAUUUACAUAUUUAAAGUCGCUCCGUGUAGGAAAAGCACUUCUGAAUAAAUUCAUGUACACUCCUACAAAAUGUAGAACCCUUACAGAUUCUUUAGUUCCUCUGGGGAAAUCCGUCAAAUCCUCCCAGACUCCUUAGAACCUACUAACGGUGUCUCCGAAGGGGUUCUCAGAACCUGUAAUGAUCCAGUGAUCUCUUAAACCCUUGACAGAGCUCGUAACUCUUUAAGGUUCCUCAUAGAACCAGUGUUUUACUAUCACAGAGAGCUCUAGAUAUGAACAAAGAACCUGUCAUUAUUCAGUGAACCCUUACUAGACCAUUGAAGAACACUUUUUUCUGAGCGCACUUUAUUUUCACACAUUAUUAAAACCGUGUUUAAUUCUUUCCUGAAAUGAAAUAACAUCACACGUGAAGGAAAAACGCAACGUUCCUUAGAUUCUCGCCCUGGAGGAACCGUUAGACCUUUCAUGUACUACCUCGUGACAGCGGCUGUUCCUGUUAGAAGCGUUCCUUGUAGAACUAAGAGGCUAAGAACCUGUAAUUAUCUAAUUGACCCUUAAAGAACCCCUGAAGAACUACUGUACUUAAAUAAAAAUGAAAGAGAGAGAGAGAGAAUGAGAAAGAAAGGAAAGAGAGAUAGAUCCUGUCCUGAAGCCAUAGUUAAGCUCACUUGUCACUUCUUUCUAAUGACGAGGCACUGCAGAGGCAAUUACAGUCCCGGAGUGAGGGAUGAAAUACUGCUCUCUCUCUCUCUCUCGCUCUCUCUUUCUCUUUCUCUCUCUCUCUCUUUCUCUCUCUCUCUCUCUCUCUCUCUCUGUAGAAAGGCCGAAUCGACUGAAGGAUCUGUCACUAGGACACACACACACACACACACACACAGACACGUCAAAGUGCUCACAGUGUGUCUAUAUGGCCAAACUCAUCACAGGAAGUGCCCCCCACCCCCAUCCCCCAUUUACCACACACACACACACACACACACACACACAAAUAAAACAGCCACUUUAAUGAAUUGGAUAUUGAACAGUCAUUAAAGUUAAGUCAGCAACGGGAUGGAUGAGAGAUAGUAACCCAGGAUUAGAGAGAGAGAGAGACAGGCAGACAGAUAGAGCGAGACACUAAAUGAAUAAUCCAGUGAAAAUAUCCACAAUAUCCCCGAAAUAUAGCGGAUCAGCUAAGAUUCAGUUUUAUAUUUGCAUUAGAACUCAAUUUCAUACUCCUUCAUACUCUGGGAGGCGGAGCUUGGAGUGAGGCA